GAAUAUGAUUAUAUGUUGUCUGUAAGAAUAGGAUCUCUCUCCAGUACACUUUAACAUACAUAGGAAAUUCUAUGAAGGUGUAUAACCAUAUUCUUCUAUAGAUUUUAGAUGGGUUAUCUGCCUGUGUUACAGACACAAGCUGAUAUAUUGUGGUUUGCCCAGUGUAGCUUCUGUGGUUUACUCAGAGGAAGUGGUUCUUGUGGGUGAAGGUCUGAUCCUUUUAGAGAUUGUUGGUGGUACAUGCACUGUCAGCUUAUUUCCUGUAUUACUGGCUGUUUGGGCAAGACCUUCUCAGGGCAAGUAAGUACUACUGAAGGGGUAUUUAAAUAUUUGUAGUGGUAGGUAGAUUAUGUUGUAUAAUAUCUAUCUCUCCAGUGAUGGGAAGAUUAAAAUAAUGUUUGUAAAGUGCUUUGAGAUCCUAGAAUGAAAAAUGAAGACAUAGUCAUAUUUGCAGGUUACUGCUAUGUAUACUGCUCAAUCGAAGUAAGAACAUGUAAUAAAAUGUUGUUCUAUCAAACUUGAUUUCUGUAACAAUUGAAGUGUUGUUUAAUUUCCAAAGAGUCAAAGGCCAGCUGCAGUGGUGCACUCCUGUAAUCCCAGCUGCUCAUGAGGCUGAGGUAGGAGGAUUGCAAGUAUGAGGCCUGUCUCAAAUAAAAAAUAAAAAGGUGUCUGGGGGUGUGGCUCAGUGGUAGAGCAGUUGCCUAGCAUGUGUGAGGCACUGGAUUCUAUCCUCAGCACCAUGAAUAAACAAACAAACAAACAAAUAGUAUUGUGUCCAUCUACAACUAAAAAAUACUAAAAAAAAAAAAAAAAAAAAAGAAAUAAAAGGCCAGGGGAUAUAUCUAAUAUCUCUAGGUUCAGUCCUCAGUACUGAUAAAUAGGAAAAGUCGUAACUAGAAUUUUUCCUUCUUUUUUCUUUCAAUUCUCCUUUUAAAUUUUACCCUACAUAAUUUAACUUAGUAGAGUAUCUUGUAUAUGAUACUGGUUAAGGCCUAUUCAGAAAACAACAGAGCAAAUUUAUUCAUCAGUUUUAUUGGAAUACUAAAAUAAUGAAAUUUAGAGAUUUUCCUUUUGAGACCAGUAGCUAUGCUAUCCAUAUACAAAACCCUAUAUUUGCUUUGCUGAAGUCUGAAAAUAA
rnacentral:lncRNA from 1 species